rnacentral:lncRNA from 1 species
CAGGCAGGCCUGCCGCCCUACCUGUCUCGCAGUGGUAGCCGAAGAAGCUCUCUGGGCAGACGCACAGACUGCACAUACAUGGAUCCCAGGCUGCUUGAUACUGUUCUUCAUCCUCCUUCACAGACUCCAAAUACGUGGAUCCCAGGCUGCUUGAUACUGUUCUCCAUCCUCCUUCGCAGACUCCAGAUACGUGGAUCCUAUUACCCUAAUAUCGUUCUGCAGGUUGCUGAAGAUCUCUUCUUUUUCUUUUAGUCUUAUUCUCUCUGUGAUGCAUAUUGAAUUGUUUCUGUUUCACUCUUCAGGUUCAUUGAUCUUUCCUUCUGCAAUAUCUAACCUGCUGUAAAUACUAUUCAGUGUAUUUUAAAAACUCAGAUAUAUUUUUCAUUUCUACAAGUUUUUAAAAAUACCUUCUACUUCUCAUUAGGUUUUUUUCCCCUCAACAAUCUUGAUUAUAGGAGCAUAUUCAUAAUAGAUAAUUAAACAUUUGUAUCUGCUAAUUCUGUCAUUUCUGGUGCCUGUUUCUAUUGAUCUAUUUUUCUCCUGACUGUGAGUUAUAUGUUACUUCUUUGUAGACCUGAUAAUUUUUGACUGGGUAUUUUGGAGUUCUGGAUUCUGUUGUAUUAUUGAUAUACUCCUGUUGAGGAGUAUAGGAUUUUAUUCUGGCACAUGGCUCAAUGACUUAGGAUCAGUUUGAUCCUUUUAAGCUUUCUUUAAGAUCUGUUAGGGCAGGUCGACAUUAGUCUUUAGUUCAGCACUACUAAAGUGACACCCCACUGAGGACUCUAUGCAAUAGACUCCCAGCCCUGUUUGAGCUCCAGGAAGUGUUUGACUUACUGCUUUCUAGUGGUUCUUUCCCCAGCC